GAGGGUAUAGCUCAGUGGUAGAGUGAGUGCUUACUAUGUGUGAGGUCCUGGGUUCUCAAACCCCAGUACCUCUA
rnacentral:tRNA from 1 species